GGCUAUUCAGAGAUACGAGCACUUUGAGCUGGGAGGAGAUAAGAGGAGAAAGAGCCAAGUGAUCCAGUUCUAAACUUCAGGACUUUUUUGUUCUUUUAAUUUUGAGGAAGUGACGUGUGGGGAAAUACAAAGAUAAUCUUACUAAAGGUCACAUGGUGCUACAUGCAGAGAAGAAGGAUAAAGUGUCAGAAAGGGAGAGAGAGUGAGAGGAGGUGCCAUGUUUCACGGAGUGUAAGGGAGGACUUCUCUGAAGCUAAACUUCAAAGUGAGAUCUGAAGACAGCAAGGAGACAUCUGGAUCCCAGGGUUCAAUCAAGAAAUUCAAGAAAAUGAAGUGAAUCCUGCAAAGGAGGCCAAGAACCAGCCCAUGAAGUUGAGAACCAAGAGAUGGUGGUCUUGGACAUCAAAAGAAGAGAGGCCACAGAGAAGAAGGAGUGAUCUGACCACUGCAUCGAAUGCUGCUGGGAGGUGGAGGAGGAUGAGCACUGAGAAGUGACUGCCAUGCAUCAGUUUGCAGCAUGAUAACCAUUGGUGGCUCUGACGGGAGUGGAGUGAUGGGGCAGAAACCUAACUGAAUGAGUUUAAGAAAUAAGGCAUAGCACCCAUCACACUGACUGAGUCAUCCGGAAAAUGUGAGAAAUCACUUAAUAAAGAGCUGCCCUGGGGAAAUGGACAGGUAAAUGGCUUUAAAUAAAAGAUUUUGUCUUACGCUUAAUUUAAUAAGAACUAUGCCCCAGUACCUUCACUAGUAAGAAAGAUAGACAGCAGAUAAGUGGAAGAGAUGAACAAGCUGUCAGCACCAGAGCAUGUAAUCUCUGUGAGCUGAAGUUUCCCUCUCCGGAUACAAAUGGGGCCAUGCCAGGGAAAGCAGCUCUCUGCUUUGCCCUGUAGAGAGGAGCAGGGACUGGGAACCAGGCCAGCCUGAUGUCGAUUCCAGAUCCAGCACUUACUAGCUGUGUGACUUUGGGGAAACUACUGAGUUUCUCUGAGUUACAUCCAGGAAACAGGGGUGACAAGGCCUAUUUAACAUGUCCAUUCUACAAAUAUAUGGGAGGUGCCAGACACCAUGUUAAAUGCUGGGGACACACAAGAAGGACCAGCUGUCAGAAACGCCACAGGCAGAGGUGAAAUGGCAAGAAGACUGGAGCAAUAGGGACUGAGCCAGUUCACAGAGGGGCUGGACAAGCUACACCAUCACAGGGGAAGAGGUGCAGCUGGCAUUUGAUGGCACGUGGUCAGGAAUCCUGGAAAAUCAGAUUCCUGUCCUGCAGAUUAUUUCUUCUCCCUUCCUCUCAGCCCCACAAAGUUCCCAUUGGAAGGAACAGGAGCCAAAUAGGAAUCGAAAUUGCACUCAAUUGCUGCACAAGUGCAGGUCUUCGGUUGGGUUGAAGCUUGAGGCUUAGACGCUAAGCUGAAUAAGAUAUCCUGCUUCCCCCCAGGCCCAA